rnacentral:rRNA from 1 species
UACGGGGGGGGCAAGCGUUGUUCGGAAUUACUGGGCGUAAAGGGCCAGUAGGCGGCCAACUAAGUCCGACGUGAAAUCCCCAAGCUUAACUCGGGAACUGCGUCGGAUACUGGAUGGCUUGAAUUCGGGAGAGGGAUGCAGAAUUCCAGGUGUAGCGGUGAAAUGCGUAGAUAUCCGGAGGAAUACCGGUGGCGAAGGCGGCAUCCUGGACCGACAUUGACGCUGAACGGCGAAAGCUAGGGGAGCAAACGGG